GAUGCUCAGAAAACAGAGGGUGUGAAAGACAAGUCCUUGAAGAGACUUUGAACUGUGCCCAGCUUUGGCAAAGGCUACGGCUGGAGAGAAAACUUGGCUAUCUGCCCCAUGUAUUGAGCACACUACAGAUGGCUCUUAGUCCUCUGCUAACCAGAUUAGCUUUUCCCAAGUCAUUUGCCUUUAACCUUCAAAACAUUCCUCUCCUUGUCUCCAUUGUCAAAGCUCUCUGCUGAUUAAAAGUCAUUUCCAAAGA